CCUACGGGCGGCAGCAGUAGGGAAUCUUUCACAAUGGGCGAAAGCCUGAUGGAGCAACGCCGCGUGCAGGAUGAAGGCCUUCGGGUUGUAAACUGCUUUUAUAAGCGAGAAAUAUGAUGGUAACUUAUGAAUAAGGAUCGGCUAACUACGUGCCAGCAGCCGCGGUCAUACGUAGGAUCCGAGCAUUAUCCGGAGUGACUGGGUGUAAAGAGUUGCGUAGGUGGCAUAAUAAGUAGCUAGUGAAAUCGGGUGGCACAAACAUUCAGAUGAUUAGCUAAACUGUUAAGCUCGAGACCGUUAGGGGUAACUGGAAUGUGUAGUGUAGGAGUGAAAUCCGUAGAUAUUAGAAGGAACACCAAUAGCGUAGGCAGGUUACUGGGACGGUUCUGACACUAAGGCACGAAAGCGUAGGGAGCAAACGGGAUUAGAUACCCGAGUAGUC
rnacentral:rRNA from 1 species